AGCUUGCACAUGCAAGGUGCAUGGCCCGUGUAUUGUCAGCGGACCUUUGCGGGACCCCCUGGCGUCCCCCCAUCACACACCCCAGUCGGAUCAGCCGCACCCCGGCGAGCUGUCGGGCGCCGGAGAUGAGGCGGUACCCGAACCCGAGCCCGAUCUAGCGGGCUUUGCAGCCACCCGGAAAGCCCAGGACAGAGCACGGGUCGCAGGCAGACUGUUGUCAAUUUUUAAUCUCAUUUUCCGUGUAUGUCUGAAAGAAUAGAUGAAACGGGAUGCUCGGGGGAAGAAUCCUUCAAUCCCGUUGGACACCUCUCACGCCUAUCCAUUCGGAAACGGGCGGGUGUUGUCCUCCUGUGGCGAGGUUGAUUGGCUGAGGUGUGCAGGGAGCGUCGUCUAUGGAUAUGUUUCCUGUCAGUCCGAGAAAAGCUGGGGUGUUUUUUUUUUUCAGGGCCAGGGUAUUCUUGGAGGGCUCUGGUGUUAUAAAAGCUGGGUUUGCAGGAGAUCAGAUUCCGAAGUACUGCUUUCCUAAUUAUGUGGGGAGGCCGAAGCACGUCCGCGUCAUGGCUGGAGCCCUGGAAGGUGACAUCUUCAUCGGCCCGAAGGCAGAGGAGCACAGGGGCCUGCUGCGAAUCCGCUACCCCAUGGAGCACGGGAUCGUGAAAGACUGGAACGACAUGGAGAGGAUCUGGCAUUAUGUCUACUCCAAGGACCAGCUGCAGACCUUCUCUGAAGAGCACCCCGUCCUGCUGACGGAGGCCCCCCUGAAUCCUCGGAGAAACCGGGACCGCGCGGCGGAGGUCUUCUUCGAGACCUUCAACGUCCCGGCGCUCUUCAUCUCCAUGCAGGCAGUGCUCAGUCUGUACGCCACAGGGCGGACCACCGGGGUGGUGCUGGACGCGGGGGAUGGCGUGACCCACGCAGUGCCCAUCUACGAGGGCUUCGCCAUGCCCCACUCCAUCAUGAGAAUCGACGUCGCCGGCCGGGAUGUCUCCAGAUACUUGCGCCUCUACCUGCGCAAGGAGGGCUACGACUUCCACACCUCCUCCGAGUUUGAGAUCGUCAAGUCCAUCAAGGAGCGGGCCUGCUUCCUCUCCAUCAACCCCCAGAAGGACGAGACCCUGGACACCGAGAAAGCGCAGUACACGCUCCCGGACGGCAGCACCAUUGAGAUUGGGCCGGCUAGAUUCCGUGCCCCCGAGCUGCUCUUCCGGCCGGACCUGGUGGGUGAGGAGUGUGAAGGGAUUCACGAGGUGCUGGUCUUUGCCAUUCAGAAGUCUGACUUGGACCUGCGGAGGACCCUCUUCUCCAACAUUGUCCUCUCAGGGGGCUCCACGCUUUUCAGAGGAUUUGGAGACAGACUUCUGAGUGAAGUGAAGAAGCUAGCGCCGAAAGACGUCAAAAUCAAAAUCUCUGCUCCCCAGGAGAGGUUAUAUUCCACAUGGAUUGGUGGCUCCAUCCUGGCCUCCCUGGACACCUUUAAGAAAAUGUGGGUGUCUAAGAAGGAAUAUGAGGAGGACGGCGCCCGAGCUAUCCACAGGAAGACCUUCUAACUGGGCGCUUUCAGGCCCUGUGAACUGCUUUCACUCCUGGGGGGGCGCUUGUCUGAGGGCUGGUGUGUAGCUGUGACUGCAGGACUGGAUGUGAAGAGCGACGUGGAGAAAGAGAGAGAGAGAGAUCUGGGGGCUGCACCUCCACCCAGCAGCGUGGUGCACAUUUAGGGUGCACUCUGGGUUUCAGCUCGGCCAUUAAGCGUCCUUCAAGAUCUCUGGAUCAGCGCUGUGCAGGGGGCUCCUCCGCUUCACCACGCUGAGCUGCUCCGGCUGCUGCCGAGUCUGGGGUUUUAGAGGAAGCUCUGCUGCCGACAUGGUGGGGGUUUUGAAAGCUGUUGAUAAGCUAGUUGGUCUGUGCAAGUGUGUCUCUAUUUAUGCCUUAAAGGAAUAGUUCAAUAUUUCAUGAGGAGUUGGUGUCCCUGAAUAGAACAUAGAGUGCCCAAGGUUAUGUAGUUUGUUCUCCUGUUUGAGAAUUUUAGACAUGAACGUAGGGUCACGUGGUUUGUAGUAUGAGCAGAUGAUGAUGGUAGAGGAAGUUCUAGCAGUGGAAUUGGGGGGGGGAGUGCUUUAAUUUUGAUGUGGAUGUAUUUGGCCUUACCACUAGUUUCACGAGCACAAUCUCUCCGAAUGACUACAACAGCCUCGUGUUAGCCAAAACUGUCCCCCAUUGCUUGCCCAUAUGAUGUACCUGCUGUUCUGCAGAGUGUUUGAGGUAGGCUGUCAACACCCUGCACAACGUGUUAAUGUUAUAAGAAGCAUGGAUCCCAAAUCCCCAGAAUGAUUAUGACAUGCAUUGCUUUUGACAUAUCAGGGUUUGACAUAUCAAGUCGCGCUGUGAUGUCACUGUGCUGUGCCGGAUGUAGGUCAUUUACUACAGUAGAGCCUUCACUUUUGCGAAGGUUCAGAGUAGAUAACUGGCAAAUUUGCAUAUAACCUAGUCCACCUGUAUACCAUCUCAUAAUGCACUACAGUAUAUAGUAUGUAUGGUUCAAAGACAUAAAUAACCCUCACUUAUAUGAUAAUUAAAGAAGUUCAAGUAGGUAGCUGCGUCAGCAUGCGUAGGCUGCAAAGGAACAAGUGAAGGUUUA